rnacentral:lncRNA from 1 species
CCGAUUUCAACCCUUACCGAUAACGUGUAAGGGUAUAUCAAGGUUGUUGAACUCUGCAUUACAUUUUCUUUUUGGUACAACAUAUUUAUAUAAUAUGACAUUGAACUUUACAACAAUUAUGAACGAUGGCUUAUAUUUUUAAAAAGAAAAAGAGGAAAAAAGAAGCUUUCAUUAUAGGAAGCCAUAAAAGUUAGCAUAAAACAUUAGAAAACAGUGCACAAAAGGAAUCAGGCAUAACAGCAAAAAAAAAAAACCUCAAAAACAUAAGCUCAAAGUCACAGGGAGCCUGGCUGCAGGCUCAUUGUCCAUCCGUAGCUGCGACAGUAAUGGACCCACGACUGAAAAAAGUAGGUGGUUGCAACUCAACGUCGAAAAGGAGGCCACCACCUGACCAGGGGAAAAGAAAAAGCUACGGUGGGCUCGCCUAGCCUCACCAACGGAGGAAAAAGGAGUCACGAAACGCUCAGAUAGUUCCUCUUGGAAGCUCGACACUGUCACCGCCUGAGUCACCCCUGAAUCCGUCGGAGCCUUAUUUUUGUAGAGAGAAGAAAGAUUGUCUUUUUGAUCAACAAGAUAAAUGAGCUUAGACAACACUCCAUACCAGC